GUAAGAUCCUGAACUACAAAUUAUUUUCAAACAUGUAUGCAUAAAAUAUAACAUAAAUAAGGCUCUUAAAAUCACUACAAAAUUUUUGUAAACUUAGAUUGAAAAUACAUAUGAAGGUCAAUACAACUCAUAAACUUACAAGUCACUACUUAACAAUUCCAAAUAUGAAAUGCAUCCUCAUUACCCUUGGCAGCACUAUCCCGUUUGAAGACAUUUUGAACCAACACAACUCUGCAAACCAAAAUACAGGAGUUGUUUUAACAGAGUAAUUGGAACACAGCAAGCUAGAAGGCUGAAACUGAGCAGAAAAAACACCCAAAGGCAGUCAAACAUAAACAGAGAAGCUGAACAAGAAAGAAAAGUCUGAGGAAUAUUCUGUUAUAUUAGAGUUGCUACUGACUAGCACAAUUAUCCAAGUGUAAUAUCUAUCAAAGAAUUGGUACAAUGUUAUAUUGCAACAGCUUAAGAGGGGGAGACUGAUGAUGAAUCCUAUAUCUUACCUGUGCUUUUACGAUUUGAUGGUCAGCCUGAAGUUGAUGAGGAGGGAAAUAUUUUGUAUAGGUUUCCAUCUCUGCAGAGAACAGCUUCUCAAAA